UGGGAUAAAUCCUAAGGGAGUUCGCACCCUGGGAUGAUUCCGUCGCCGUGAAUGACAUUAUUGCUGGUCUAAAAGGAUUUACAGAUGAUGAUGUGAAGCCAUUUUCUUCUGGUUUGAAUUCAGCUGAGACUCAGGCCAUGUAAUUGCAGUGCCAGUGAGGGAGAACCAUCAAGCAGUGCUGCACAGGCAA